rnacentral:rRNA from 1 species
CCUACGGGAGGCAGCAGUGAGGAAUAUUGGUCAAUGGGCGAGAGCCUGAACCAGCCAAGUCGCGUGAGGGAGUACUGCCCUAUGGGUUGUAAACCUCUUUUGUCGGGGAGCAAAAGCCGGACGUGUCCGGCUGUGAGAGUACCCGAAGAAAAAGCAUCGGCUAACUCCGUGCCAGCAGCCGCGGUAAUACGGAGGAUGCGAGCGUUAUCCGGAUUUAUUGGGGUUAAAGGGUGCGCAGGCGGAUUGUUAAGUCAGCGGUCAAAUCGUGGGGCUCAACCCCAUCCAGCCGUUGAAACUGGGGAUCUAGAGUGUGCGAGAGGUAUGCGGAAUGCGUGGUGUAGCGGUGAAAUGCAUAGAUAUCACGCAGAACCCCGAUUGCGAAGGCAGCAUACCGGUGCACAACUGACGCUCAGGCACGAAAGCGUGGGUAUCGAACAGGAUUAGAUACCCCAGUAGUC